GGGGGCCCGCAAGCGGUGGAGCAUGUGGUUUAAUUCGAUGCAACGCGAAGAACCUUACCUACUCUUGACAUCCAGAGAAUAUAUCACAGAUGCCAUAGUGCCUUCGGGAACUCUGAGACAGGUGCUGCAUGGCUGUCGUCAGCUCGUGUUGUGAAAUGUUGGGUUAAGUCCCGCAACGAGCGCAACCCUUAUCCUUUGUUGCCAGCGAUUAAGUCGGGAACUCAAAGGAGACUGCCAGUGAUAAACUGGAGGAAGGUGGGGAUGACGUCCAGUCAUCAUGGCCCUUACGAGUAGGGCUACGCACGUGCUACAAUGGCGCACACAAAGAGAAGCAAACUUGCCAAAGCUAACAGACCUCAUAAAGUGCGUCAUAGUCCGGAUUGUAGUAUGCAUCUCCACUCCUUAAAGUCGGAAUCGCUCGUAAUCGUGGAUCACAACGCCACAGCUGAAUGCCUUCCCCGGCCUUGUACACACC
rnacentral:rRNA from 1 species